UACGAAGGGUGCGAGCGUUAAUCGGAAUUACUGGGCGUAAAGCGCGCGUAGGUGGUUUGGUAAGCGAUAUGUGAAAGCCCCGGGCUUAACCUGGGAACUGCAUGCAAAACUGGCAAGCUAGAGUAUGGUAGAGGGUGGUGGAAUUUCCUGUGUAGCGGUGAAAUGCGUAGAUAUAGGAAGGAACACCAGUGGCGAAGGCAAUCCCCCUGGACCUGUACUGACGCUCAUGCACGAAAGCGUGGGGAGCAAACAGG
rnacentral:rRNA from 1 species